UGGGGAAUAUUGCACAAUGGGGGAAACCCUGAUGCAGCGACGCCGCGUGAGCGAAGAAGGUUUUCGAAUCGUAAAGCUCUGUCCUAUGGGAAGAUAAUGACGGUACCAUAGGAGGAAGCCCCGGCUAACUACGUGCCAGCAGCCGCGGUAAUACGUAGGGGGCAAGCGUUGUCCGGAAUCACUGGGCGUAAAGGGUUCGCAGGCGGAAAUGCAAGUCAGUUGUGAAAGGCAGAGGCUCAACCUCUGUAAGCAAUUGAAACUGUAUUUCUUGAGAUGUGGAGAGGCAAGUGGAAUUCCUAGUAUAGCGGUGAAAUGCGUAGAUAUUAGGAAGAAUACCGGUGGCGAAGGCGACUUGCUGGACAAAAACUGACGCUGAGGAACGAAAGCGUGGGUAGCAAACAGG
rnacentral:rRNA from 1 species